UACAGAGGGUGCGAGCGUUAAUCGGAAUUACUGGGCGUAAAGGGCGCGUAGGCGGUGAGAUAGGUGUGAUGUGAAAGCCCCGGGCUUAACCUGGGAAGCGCAUCGCAAACGAUCUGACUUGAGUAUAUGAGAGGGUGGCGGAAUUUCCGGUGUAGCGGUGAAAUGCGUAGAGAUCGGAAGGAACACCAGAGGCGAAGGCGGCGCACUGGACAGCAACUGACACUCAACUGCGAAAGCGUGGGGAGCAAACAGG
rnacentral:rRNA from 1 species